GAUGAAGAACGCAGCGAAAUGCGAUAAGUAGUGUGAAUUGCAGAAUUCAGUGAAUCAUCGAAUCUUUGAACGCACAUUGCGCCCCUUGGUAUUCCAUGGGGCAUGCCUGUUCGAGAGUCAUUUGUACCUUCAAGCUCUGCUUGGUGUUGGGUGUUUGUCUCGCCUCUGCGUGUAGACUCGCCUCAAAACAAUUGGCAGCCGGCGUAUUGAUUUCGGAGCGCAGUACAUCUCGCGCUUUGCACUCAUAACGACGACGUCCAAAAGUACAUUUUUACACUCUUGACCUCGGAUCAGGUAGGGAUACCCGCUGAACUUAAGCAUAUCAAUAAGCGGAGGA
rnacentral:misc_RNA from 1 species